GUCGAGCGGACUUUUAAAAGCUUGCUUUUAAAAGUCAGCGGCGGACGGGUGAGUAACACGUGGGCAACCUGCCUGUAAGACUGGGAUAACUUCGGGAAACCGGAGCUAAUACCGGAUACGUUCUUCUCUCGCAUGAGAGAAGAUGGAAAGAUGGUUUCGGCUAUCACUUACAGAUGGGCCCGCGGCGCAUUAGCUAGUUGGUGGGGUAAUGGCCCACCAAGGCGACGAUGCGUAGCCGACCUGAGAGGGUGAUCGGCCACACUGGGACUGAGACACGGCCCAGACUCCUACGGGAGGCAGCAGUAGGGAAUCUUCCGCAAUGGACGAAAGUCUGACGGAGCAACGCCGCGUGAACGAUGAAGGCUUUCGGGUCGUAAAGUUCUGUUGUUAGGGAAGAACAAGUACCAGAGUAACUGCUGGUACCUUGACGGUACCUAACCAGAAAGCCACGGCUAACUACGUGCCAGCAGCCGCGGUAAUACGUAGGUGGCAAGCGUUGUCCGGAAUUAUUGGGCGUAAAGCGCGCGCAGGUGGUUCUUUAAGUCUGAUGUGAAAGCCCACGGCUCAACCGUGGAGGGUCAUUGGAAACUGGGGAACUUGAGUGCAGAAGAGGAAAGUGGAAUUCCACGUGUAGCGGUGAAAUGCGUAGAGAUGUGGAGGAACACCAGUGGCGAAGGCGACUUUCUGGUCUGUAACUGACACUGAGGCGCGAAAGCGUGGGGAGCGAACAGGAUUAGAUACCCUGGUAGUCCACGCCGUAAACGAUGAGUGCUAAGUGUUAGAGGGUUUCCGCCCUUUAGUGCUGCAGCUAACGCAUUAAGCACUCCGCCUGGGGAGUACGGCCGCAAGGCUGAAACUCAAAGGAAUUGACGGGGGCCCGCACAAGCGGUGGAGCACGUGGUUUAAUUCGAAGCAACGCGAAGAACCUUACCAGGUCUUGACAUCCUCUGACAACCCUAGAGAUAGGGCUUUCCCCUUCGGGGGACAGAGUGACAGGUGGUGCAUGGUUGUCGUCAGCUCGUGUCGUGAGAUGUUGGGUUAAGUCCCGCAACGAGCGCAACCCUUGAUCUUAGUUGCCAGCAUUCAGUUGGGCACUCUAAGGUGACUGCCGGUGACAAACCGGAGGAAGGUGGGGAUGACGUCAAAUCAUCAUGCCCCUUAUGACCUGGGCUACACACGUGCUACAAUGGAUGGUACAAAGAGCCCGCAAACCCGCGAGGGCAAGCUAAUCUCAUAAAGCCAUUCUCAGUUCGGAUUGCAGGCUGCAACUCGCCUGCAUGAAGCCGGAAUCGCUAGUAAUCGCGGAUCAGCAUGCCGCGGUGAAUACGUUCCCGGGCCUUGUACACACCGCCCGUCACACCACGAGAGUUUGUAACACCCGAAGUCGGUGAGGUAACC
rnacentral:rRNA from 1 species